AGUGGGAUAGCUGGGUCAAAAGGUUGUUCCAUUUCCAGUUUUCAAAGGAAACUCCAUACUGCUUUCCAUAUUGGCUAUACCAAUUUGCAGUCCCACAAGCAGU
rnacentral:pre_miRNA from 1 species